UUUCCUGAUAGCUUAAUAGGUUAAAGCAAAUGGCUGUUAACCAUUAGAUUACAGGUUCGAAUCCUGUUCAGGAAGA
rnacentral:tRNA from 1 species